GGAAUAUUGGGCAAUGGGCGCAAGCCUGACCCAGCAACGCCGCGUGAAGGAAGAAGGUUUUCGGAUCGUAAACUUCUGUCCUAUGUGAAGAUAGUGACGGUAGCAUAGGAGGAAGCCCCGGCUAACUACGUGCCAGCAGCCGCGGUAAUACGUAGGGGGCGAGCGUUGUCCGGAAUGAUUGGGCGUAAAGGGCGCGUAGGCGGCUUGAUAAGUCUGGAGUGAAAGUCCUGUUUUCAAGAUGGGAAUUGCUUUGGAUACUGUUGAGCUUGAGUGCAGGAGAGGUUAUCGGAAUUCCCGGUGUAGCGGUGAAAUGCGUAGAGAUCGGGAGGAACACCAGUGGCGAAGGCGGGUAACUGGACUGCAACUGACGCUGAGGCGCGAAAGUGUGGGGAGCAAACA
rnacentral:rRNA from 1 species